rnacentral:sRNA from 1 species
AGAUCUAUAUAUUUGCCAUACACACAUUCACGUGGACCAGUUGACCUUAAUCUUACUAUUUUGUGAUUGCCAUGGUAGAGUAAAACUCUUAAAUUUAACCCUACCGUGAAUAAAAACAAAAACGUUUGUAACUACCAUCUUUUUCUUUUAGGGCUUCGUCAAUGGCAAUAGGUUGACAAACACUUUAAAACUAUUGUCAAGUCAUACAUUUUCAAAAAGAUAACUUUCAAACAGUCUAUGUAUCAAUGUUGCGGUUGUUCUACAAUCUCUAUAUAUUAGCUAUUUUUGUGAAUACUGAAGAAGCAUCUACCAACAUCACAUUAGAAUGUGUAAGUAGACCUAAGUGCGGGAAUGUUCUCAUUGACAAGGUGGACAAGUUUGAUUGUAUCGCCCACAUCAAUGCUGAUAUAACUGAUAUGACUCGAUAUAUAGGCCUUUUCUAUAUGCCAUUCAUAAAAAAUGAUCCAGUUAUCUGGGUUAUCACCU